CCAAUAGCGUAUAUUAAAGUUGUUGCAGUUAAAAAGCUCGUAGUUGAAUUUCGGGGUUAGUAAGUUGGUCGUGCCACUGGUAUGUACUGGCUUUACUGAUUCCUCCUUCUUGUAGAACCGUAAUGCCAUUAAGUUGGUGUUGCGGGGAAACAGGACUGUUACUUUGAAAAAAUUAGAGUGUUUAAAGCAAGCUAACGCUUGAAUACAUUAGCAUGGAAUAAUGAAAUAGGGCGUUCGAUCCUAUUUUGUUGGUUUCUAGGAUUGACGUAAUGAUUAAUAGGGAUAGUUGUGAGCAAUAGUAUUCAAUUGUCAGAGGUGAAAUUCUUGGAUUUAUUGAAGACUAACUACUGCGAAAGCAUUUGCCAAGGAUGUUUUCAUUAAUCAAGAACGAAAGUUAGGGGAUCGAAGACGAUCAGAUACCGUCGUAGUCUUAACCAUAAACUAUGCCGACUAGGGAUCGGAUGAUGUUAAUUUUAUAAUGACUCAUUCGGCGCCUUAC
rnacentral:misc_RNA from 1 species